rnacentral:lncRNA from 1 species
AAAUAGAUACAUUUUUGAGCAAGAGAGGAUGAAGAAGUAAAUGACAUAAAGGUAAAGAGCUUAUACAAAUGCUCUAGUUGUUCCUUAGAGAAAAGAGAUGCCUCAAAGUUGACUUUAUUCUCCACAUUUUCUCCAUUUGCAACUCGGAAGGCCCUACCUUCUCCAUUUGGCUUCUUCUUCUAGUGUAGUGGUUUUCCAUUAAGUUAAGUGUGUCAUGGUCAUCUACAUUGAUCACACAAAGGUCGUUUUUUUCUUCCGCCGUCUACUUCAAAACCCUUUACAGCCAUAGCAGAACUCUCAAUUUCUUGCACCCUUGUACUGUCAGAGUUUUGCAGCAUAACUUUCCUUUUGGAUUCCUCCUUCCUUACUUCAGAAAAUAUUUCCCUCAACGAAGGCAAAGGCUUUCUGCCCAAAAUUCGAUCACAGACUUCGUCAAGUUCUGGAUUGAGUACUGCUAGAAACAUAUAACCUCUAUCAUUUUUUUCUCUUUUCUUAAAUUUGUUUGUAUCUUUGAAAUUCUCCCAAUCAUCCUCAUAACAUUGGUCAAACUCUUGCCAAAGGACAACCAUGAGAUUAAAGAACGUUGUGACAUCUUUAUCUCUUUGUUUGGACUACCACAAACGAGUCAUAAGUUCAUAAAUCUAUGAGGAGUUCUCCAAGUCAGAAUAAGAAUCGCAUACAAUUCCC